rnacentral:rRNA from 1 species
CAGCAGCCGCGGUAAUACGAAGGGGGCUAGCGUUGUCCGGAAUUACUGGGCGUAAAGCGCACGUAGGCGGAUAUUUAAGUCAGGGGUGAAAUCCCAGAGCUCAACUCUGGAACUGCCUUUGAUACUGGGUAUCUUGAGUAUGGAAGAGGUGAGUGGAAUUCCGAGUGCAGAGGUGAAAUUCGUAGAUAUUUGGAGGAACACCAGUGGCGAAGGCGGCUCACUGGUCCAUUACUGACGCUGAGGUGCGAAAGCGUGGGGAGCAAACAGGAUUAGAGACCCGAGUAGUCCCUGUCUCUUAUAC